AGAGAGAGGCAGUCUGAGGCUGGAGUCAGAGAGAGUAAGAUCUCUCUCUCUCUCUUUCUCAAUCUCUCUCUCUCUUUUCUCUUUCUCUUUUUUUCUCUAAUCUACACUACCACCACCAUCACCACCAUGUCUGAAGAGACGAAAACUUCAGCAAAAGACGAAAUGGAUGCAACUCAAGCAGAGACCAGUGCAGACUGCGGCGAGGUGAAGGUGGAGGAGGGAGGAGGAGGAGGAGGAGGAGGAGGAGGAGGAGGAGGAGGAGGAGGAGGAAGAGGAGAAGAAGAAGGAGGAGGAAGACGAGAAGACGAAGGAAGAGGAAGAGGAGAAGGACGAUGAGGAGAGAGAGAAGAUGGAGGAGAAAGAGGAAGAUGAGAAGGAAGAAGAGAAAGAAGAAGAAGAAAAAGGUGAUGAAGAAAAGGAGAUAUCAGAGGAAGAAGAGGAAAAAGAGGAAGAAGAGAAGAAAGUAGAAGAAACAAAACAGAAAGAAGAAGAAGAAGAAGAAGAAGAAGAAGAAGA